rnacentral:ncRNA from 1 species
AUUUUCGGGGUUAGGUGAAAUUCCUUACCGGCGGUAAAGCCCGCGAGCCUGUUUAAGGCAUGAUUUGGUGAAAUUCCAAAGCCGACAGUAAAGUCUGGAUGAGAGAAGAU